AUUGGAUAUUUGUACAGAAUGUUAGAGUUGACAAAAUUGUUUUCACAGGCAUUGUCUCAGUUGAUGGUGGCACCCCAUGACUCAAGAGGAUUGCUGCCCUUGUUUUAGGGAUGAGAAAACAGCAGCUCAGAGAAGGUCUUUAACCCCCCCCCCCCCAGCCCUCCAGCAAUUAUGCAGAACAGGCAGCUGACAAACACUGAUAAAUCAGAUCAGCUCACUGCUAUCCUCAGCAACACAUGAGGGAAGGAAACAAACUCUGAGCCCCUGUGGGUCAGGCAGGGGCUGGAUAUUCCACAUUUUCUCCGAGUUCCCCCAACUCAGACUCCCUGGGUCCAAAUCCCAGCUCCCACACUUACUAGCAGCAUGGCCUUGUAGGCCAGUCACAUGCUCGCUCAGCCUGUGUCUCAGUCUUCUCACAUGUGACACGAAGGUAACAAUAUGCCCUCCUUACAGUGUCAUGAGGUUUAAAGCAGGCAGUCCACUAAAACACAUAGCCCUGUGUUAAGUAAGGACGCCUUGCACAUUACCAACUAUCACCAUUGUUACUGCCCCUUGUUUCACACAGGAAAGAAGAAUGCUCGUGAUGAUGAAGCAGGAACAUUACUGAGAUUAGAACUUAAGUUUGACUCCAAAGAUCUUAUUUUCUGCUGCCUUCAGGUACCUGUUUACUUCCUCCUUUCUGCUCUUUUUCAUCCUCCUGGACCCUUCUUCCAUUGCCCUGAUCCUGGGCCGCCUGCAUCAGAAUAAUCACUAUGGACAUUCUCCCUUCCUCCCCUAUGGACGGAAUCAGAAGUUCUGAAGCCAGGACCCAGAAAUCUGCAUUUUUUCACAAACAGCACAGGUGACUCUUUUGCGCCCUGAGGAAGUGAAGAACCACUGACCCAGAGGGCCCACUGCAGCAGCUGUCGCUCCCCAGCCCCCCUUCACCUCCCCCUUCACCCAGGAAGUGCUCCAAAUCUGUGUUGCUGUAAAUCCUCCCUCCCCUGCACAGUCCCCAUCUGCUUUUUCAUGAUUAGCAAUGAUUAGCAAUACAAGGCUGAUGCCAGCUCUCUCUGUGGUGGCUGGUCAUUCAAUCCACUUUGAAUAAUGGCUUUCUUGAAGUGACGGCUUAUUUUGCCUCCAAGUCAGGCAGGUAGGGCAUAGAGAAGGGAAGAGGAGAGGUCAGGUGAUCUCCAUUCCAUGCACAAGAUCCACCAUGCACAAAAAUACAACAAUUACCCGCCUAGGAAAUCUCAAAGGGUACCAGGGUCCAGCCUACAAAAAUGAGAUAAGACAACAAGGCAGGCCAGCACAAAAGAGGAGAAACUAAAUUAGUAUUUGCAUUAGAGUUUUAUCUUAUCUCACAAGCACAGCAGAUGCCUUCCAGCACAAGGAGGCCAGGAGGCCAGGUGUCAUUUACCACAUGCUUUCACUUAUUCCUACUUUGCAAAUAAUUGUCAACCCUCUCCACCCCAUCCAUGCCGUCCACCAAAAAGCUUUUACCAAAGACCUUCAGAGAAUACCAUGGAGCCUCAAAAUAUAACCCUCAGGCAAACAACAUUUCUGUUUUCUUAGGUAAUUUUUUUUUCCCCAAAUGUCUUCUUAACUAGACUUAAUGUCCAGUUGUGUAAACAGCUGAAGAUAUCCUAAUUCCUGAGAGGAUGUCAAAGAUCCAUACUUGAGUGGGGAAGAUAUUGAGGGUGUGGGGAAGAAUGGAAGGAAAACUAGCAUUAACUAUUAAACACGGACAAGAUUUUAAAAAUUACAUACCAUUUGGCACUUCUCACCUCCAAAGUAUGCUGCCCCCAUUAAAGGCAAGGAAAGGCAAGCUUCUCACCAUGGCAAAUUGGCCUAAUUAUGCUUUCUUUCUCCUAAACUGGGAAGGGUUUGCAUGCGCUGGUUUAAAAACACGCUUCCUAUGAGUGACCGCCUUUGCUCUGGAUGGGAAUGCAGUUACCCUGUCUGCACCAGUUUGAUGCGGUCUCUCAUUUUACAAACUGGACUUGGAACCACUUAACAAAAGGCAAUAAGCAAAUGCAUGUGGAAAAUAUGCAAGUCAGCUCUCCAGGCCAGAGUCCCGGGCAUGUUCUUAGAACAGAAACCCUGCUCUCAGCUUUAUUUUGCUGCAGGAGCUUGGGGCAGGUCAGUGGUUCAGGGUCUGCGUGUUGAAGGCAAGGUUGGAAAUAAAGAUGUUCCUGAUGUGCCUCACCCUCCACAAACAGAGUGUGUCCCUGAUACUGGAUACCACCCGGCUGCUGGAGACCCUUGGGCUGAGAGUCUGAGGCUCUGACGUUGCAGUUCAAACCCCAAAGCGCAGCGGAUUUUCAUCUGGGUUUCAGAGGAGGCAUUAUCUUCACUUUGUUUCUGGACACUGGAGCUGAACCCCCACCCCCAGAGAUAAGAACAAACAGAAUGUGUUCUGUCUUCCCAAAGAUGCUACAUCAGCAUGUAUUUUCCACUUAAGGCUUUUAAGCAUUUGACUUACACAUUUAUGAACACCCCCAGUGGACCGUUAGGGUUUGGUUUAAUCCCCAAGAAAACUGGCAUUAAAAUAGACCUUUUCCCGGCAAUAAUAAUCUCAUUUACGAUAAAUUAUUCUAUUCUCAGUAACUUUGAGACACAUGAGAGCUUUUAUGUAAUAAAGAAGCCAUUUAUUUCCGAAUA